UAUCAUCAUCAUCAUUAGAGCCACCAAAUGAUAUAAUAGUACUCUCACCCCUACUAUAGGACUGACCAAUUGACAAAUUAUAGUUGUCACCCUUCUUGUAGCUUUGACUGAUAGAUAUGGUACUGUCAUCUCCUUUACCAUAGGUCUGACACACAGUUACAGAACUAUCAUCUGUCAUGUAUGUUUGACCCAUGGAUAUGAAAGUGUUUUCACCCUUAUUGAAGGUAUUGCUCAUUGCAAGUGCAUUAUUAUCCUCACUUUUGUUAUAGGAUUGUCCCAUAGACAUGAAAACAUUAUUCUCCCUUUCAUAGGUGUCACCAAUAGGAUCCCCUUUGUUAUAAGAAGAACCCAUCGGCAUAAUACCAUCUUCCACCUUGUUGUAUGCAUGAUCAUUUGACACAGAGGUAUUAUCAACCCCAUUAAACACAUAUCCCAUUGAUGCAGACAUGAUAUUCUCCGAAUCCUUAACCUCGCUGACUUUUACCUUCCUAAUCCCACCAAGGUUUAACCCAGAUCUAGGAUCUUCUAGUGUAUGAGACAUAGAUAAACAGAAUGAAGAAUCAUUUGUAAAUAUAUCUUCAUUAAGCUUUCUCCCCAUGACAACUUUCUCACUGCUAACUGAUGGCAUGCUUCGAUCAUCAAAAUUCACAGCUCGAGCUGAUUCGGUGUCGAAUAACCGUUCAGCAAACUGCCCCGAGAUUGAAUGAAAACCAGAUGCAUUUCCCCAUGGAGACAGGUUUGAAUUCAAGAUUCCAGAAAAAAAGUUGGUAGUUGAAACUCCAACCGCCUGCUUCUUGUUAGGAAAUAUAUCUGUCUCGGAACCAUCCAUAAACCAUUGAUGAGAACGCUUGGGCUCAAUUCUAGAUGAAGUAUCAUACACCAUCUCACCAUCGUUUAAACACCCAGCUCCUUUCGUCAUCCAAAUGCCUUGAUUCUGGAAAGACUGUUACAUGUAACAAAUUCCUAAUCAGAGGCGUAGAAGAGAAUAACAACAACAGUUGAAUCUUUUUCAUUGACCUAGUAUCAAGAUUAACCGCAAGCCAUAAAUAUUUAUAACAUAAUUAAUGGACAACUUCAAUAAGGUGAACUUUGUUUUUGCACCUAUCAAAAGCUUGACUAGGCACACCAAGCAUGCACUUGAAGAAGGAUUGAAAUAACUUUUGUUCUCUAGUGCUAAUAUACAGCGCCUAAGGACGCACCUUGGUCUUUGACAACCUCAGCACUUCAGCACCAACACACACAACUUACCAAGUAGAAAAUUGUCAAACUGACAUUUUUCUUCACUCAUAUAUACAUACUUAUAUAUGGUUCAUCAGUGCAUCCCCACCUAAAUUACUCUAUUACAACUGUUUGGCAAUAAAAGACACAAUCAUCUAUAGUUCUUUUUUUUUUUUUACCAAAAAGCAUAAUUUUUCAGUUGAUACAGAAUUUUAACCUUCUUUAACUAUGUGAAACUACAUAAGGGACAAGGCAAUAAGCAAUUGCAGAACAAUUAACGAUAAAAAUUAAAACCACUGAAUCAAUCACAAAAGAUACACAUAAAACUGAAAAACAGCAUCGAAAGCAACCAUUAGACCCUUCUCCCACCACUUAAAGCACAUAAAAACAUACCAUUUUUCUAGCUUUAUUUCAAAGUUCUAUUUGGAUGAAUCCUCGCUUCCACUUUGCUGUAACAGUCCAACAAUUAAAACUCUAUCAUAUUGCAUUAAACAAGGAUCAAAUUUACAACUUUACCACUAAACAGCAAAGUUCUAUAACUCCUGGCUGAAGCAGAGACUGUAAAACUUCGUGAGAAUUGAAGCCUUUAAUCGCUAAAGUAAUUAUCUGCAAAAUUCAGGGAAUAAAUCACUUGAAAAACUCUGAGAACAAAUAAUAGUGACUCCAAGGCUGAGGUAUUGUAUCUUUCACUCGAAAUUAUGCAAAUCCAUUCCCUUAAACAUAUUUUAAAACAUAUAUAUUGUUGUAAUUGCUGUUAUCCUUUGUCUUCCUCUUUGCAGCCAAACACAAUCAAAAUUAACCAACAAGAUCAGGCAGCAGGGGAUGCAGCAAAUGCUCCAAAAUCAGGUUGCUGCGGUUGAGCUACGAUCGAUGAUGAGCUCUGAAGGGUAUAUUUUCUUCUCUAGUGAGCUCUUUGAAUUUGGGAAAACUGUAACUACAUUCUUCCAGUUUGUAAUUUCUUCUUAUCUAUUUUGCAUCUAUUACUCUUUCGGUCUGAAAUGUUAGAUCCCUGAUAUCCUGCGAAAUUAAUUAUUUUUGCAAGUUGCCUCUACCAUUUUGACAUUUGGAGUUGAAGCUAAGAACCGCUCGGUGCCAUCCAUUAAUUGGAGCAUAAUUAGAGAUGACAAUAGGACAGAUUUGGAACAAAGUCAUUUUGGAGUUUUUCGAGUUUGGUGUGUGGGCUAGGAUUUGGGGCCAGCUCGGUAUUUUCUUCGUAAUUUUCAAACUUUUAUAAAAGAUGUAAGCAUUCUAACAUGUUCUUGUUAGAGUUCAAUUGAGCUCAGGUUUAAAUCAUUUUUUUUUAUCAAAUUUCAGUUCAUGGGUUGAGACUUGAGAUGUGGCCAUGGUCAAUACCAAAAAAUUAAGUCUGAACUCAACUCCCGAUGAUUUUUUUAGUUCAUAUAUUAUAAAAUAUUAUAUUUAUAUCAAUUCAGUAUAAUAGUUUAUAAUGAAGUUCAAAUAAAAAUAUAUUAUUGAAUGUUAAUUUAAGUCAAAAAAAGAAAAAUUAUCUUUGUCCAAGCUGGCCAAGUAAUUCGCUCAAACCAGUACACGAAAUUAAUCAAGCCCUAAAAGAACAGUACUUAAAAGAAGCAAACAACACAUAAAGACGGGUAGUUUCCUCCGUUCCUCCUUUAGUUCACCAAAGGUGCAAUACCAAAAACAAACAAAAAAAAAAGUCUGAACCGAUGAUUUUUUUUGUUCAUAUAUUAUAAAAUAUUAAAUAUUAUAUCUUACCAAUUCAAUAUAAUACUUCAUAAUAAAGUUCAAAUAAAAAAUUUAUUAUUGAAUUUAAAUUCAAGUCACAAAAGGAAAAUUAUCUUUGUCCAAGCUGGCCAAGUAAUUCGCUCAAACCAGUACACAUAAUUAAUCAAACCCUAAUAAAAGUACUUCAAAGAAGCAAACAACGCAUAAAGACAGGUAGUUUCCUCCGUUCCUCCUUUAGUCCACCAAAGGUGCAAAAUUUAGAUUUCAUCUCUAUCUCUUGAAUUAAUAUCCGACUACAUGUUUGCAGAGAUACAAGCAAAUACACAAAUAACAAGUAUCUCUCUUUCAGGCAUUAACUCCCUACUUUUUAACAUAAUCCCUACCCCCGUAAAUUAAAAAAAAAAAAAACCCCCCACGCCCGGUGCUGUCACCAUUAACAAGCAUAAAGUCUCGUAAAAAGUCACUUCCUUCAUAUUCACAAAACAGAGAUUAACCCUACCUUGCAAAUGAAAAUGGUUGUUUUAUGACAAUUGUUUCAUUUCAUCCUUCCCAUAUAUACGCUGAAGUUCAAGAGUGGCAGCUAAAAACGAAUCUGAAAAAAGAAAGAGGUGCAAAGUAGACAUGUCAAUUGUAUCCCAUCUCAAAAACUCCAUCCGAUCAACCUAAACCAAAACCAAACCCAAACCCGAUUUGACCAUAAAAAGUCAACAACAUGAACCCAUCCAACCACACCCAAAAAUGACUCAAACCCAAUCUGAAAUUGACUUAACAAAAAUGACCCUGACAUUUUAAAUUUUGAAUUGAUCCAAUCCAGAAAGAUUCGAUCCAAAAUCAACCCGACUUGCCGAAUAGACCUGACCUUUUUAGUUUACUCAAUAAAGUGCACUAGUAAAAGAAGCAUUUCCUUCUGAUUAAAUUUGUCAGUCAAGAUAGGUAGAAUUAAAAGGAAAAGCAAAUCAAGUUCAAUAGCUUACAUCACCUUUCCAAAUCCGGAAGCACUUCUGGUUAAUAGGCGAGCCGGUUAUUGUCUGAAUAACAUCGAACAACAUAUUCUGAGGUGUGCUUCUAAGCUCUUGGACAAUCCCAUAAAUGGUCUUCCCAUUCUCAAAGUAUAUGUGAUUAUUUGGAUGCUUUGUUUUGCAACCAGCAUGCCGCUCAAAUUCAUAUGCAUUGAUCACCUAUGAGAACGUAGAAACUCUGCUCAUCAGCACACACAUAAGUGCGUACACAAUUCUCUCAAAAAAGAAAAAAAAGGUAAAACCGAGAAACCACACCUUAGAAAAAUUGCAUGUCUGACAGCCACAUUGAUAUCCCGAACUCUUUAUAACACCGUGGAGCUCCUUCUGAAGUUCAUAUAAAGAAGCAGGCGUAUCACCGGACAAUAAGGUAAAUAAAAAGAACACAAGUAAUGAGAUUUUACCUCCUGUGACCAUGCAAUAUAUUUAACGGGAACUCCAUCAAGCAUACCAGUUGACAGCAAACUUCUAACAUUUGAUGGGAAGUUAUUUGAAGUAAGUUUUUUGGAUGUUUUCUGCUCAUCUUUCUUCCUAGGAACUUCAGCUCCAGAGGCAAUAAUAUUAUUGGAUAUAGACACUUUUUCACUAGAAGCAUUGGAUCUUUGGACAGAAGACUGACCCAUCAAUAAAUUAUAGCCUGAUACAAUCCUUCCUGGCGGAUUUGUAUCAUCAUCAUCAUUAGAGCCACCAAAUGAUAUAAUAGUACUCUCACCCCUACUAUAGGACUGACCAAUUGACAAAUUAUAGUUGUCACCCUUCUUGUAGCUUUGACUGAUAGAUAUGGUACUGUCAUCUCCUUUACCAUAGGUCUGACACACAGUUACAGAACUAUCAUCUGUCAUGUAUGUUUGACCCAUGGAUAUGAAAGUGUUUUCACCCUUAUUGAAGGUAUUGCUCAUUGCAAGUGCAUUAUUAUCCUCACUUUUGUUAUAGGAUUGUCCCAUAGACAUGAAAACAUUAUUCUCCCUUUCAUAGGUGUCACCAAUAGGAUCCCCUUUGUUAUAAGAAGAACCCAUCGGCAUAAUACCAUCUUCCACCUUGUUGUAUGCAUGAUCAUUUGACACAGAGGUAUUAUCAACCCCAUUAAACACAUAUCCCAUUGAUGCAGACAUGAUAUUCUCCGAAUCCUUAACCUCGCUGACUUUUACCUUCCUAAUCCCACCAAGGUUUAACCCAGAUCUAGGAUCUUCUAGUGUAUGAGACAUAGAUAAACAGAAUGAAGAAUCAUUUGUAAAUAUAUCUUCAUUAAGCUUUCUCCCCAUGACAACUUUCUCACUGCUAACUGAUGGCAUGCUUCGAUCAUCAAAAUUCAC
rnacentral:lncRNA from 1 species